rnacentral:rRNA from 1 species
CCAGACUCCUACGGGAGGCAGCAGUGGGGAAUAUUGGACAAUGGGGGGAACCCUGAUCCAGCGACGCCGCGUGAGUGAAGAAGUAUUUCGGUAUGUAAAGCUCUAUCAGCAGGGAAGAAAAUGACGGUACCUGACUAAGAAGCCCCGGCUAACUACGUGCCAGCAGCCGCGGUAAUACGUAGGGGGCAAGCGUUAUCCGGAUUUACUGGGUGUAAAGGGAGCGUAGACGGCAUGGCAAGUCAGAUGUGAAAGCCCGGGGCUCAACCCCGGGACUGCAUUUGAAACUGUCAGGCUGGGGUGCAGGAGAGGUAAGUGGAAUUCCUAGUGUAGCGGUGAAAUGCGUAGAUAUUAGGAGGAACACCAGUGGCGAAGGCGGCUUACUGGACUGUAACUGACGUUGAGGCUCGAAAGCGUGGGGAGCAAACAGGAUUAGAUACCCUAGUA